rnacentral:misc_RNA from 1 species
CAAGAGGCCGAAAGGCUACUUAAAACCAUCGCGAACCUAUCCAAGUUGCUUCGGCGGCGCGGGGCCCCUCACCGGGCGCCGCAGCCCGGCCUCUCCGGAGGCCAAGGGCGCCCGCCGGAGGUACGAAACUCUCUGUAUUAUAGUGGCAUCUCUGAUUUAAAACGCAAUAAGUUA